CUGGGACCAAAAUAAUCAGAGAAGCUACAACUUAAAAGGGUUCAGAGAACAAAGUACACGUCAGGAGAGAGCUCUUGAGUAGUUACAGUUUCCCCAUCACUAUAAAGAAGGAACUGGACUGGAAGACUUCAACUGGAAUGAUCCUAGGCUGAUUUUCACAGCUACAAAAGGAUGGGAGAUUAUUAACUCUAUUGGAUAGAGACUGAUAAUAUAUUGUUAAAAGGAAAACCUACAUUGAGAAUUCAACAAUAAAUUGUUGUCUUAGAA